GCCGAUGUAGCUCAACUGGUAGAGCAGCGGUAUCGUAAACCGCAGGUUGUCGGUUCAAUCCCGACCAUCGGCUCCA
rnacentral:tRNA from 1 species